rnacentral:rRNA from 1 species
AUGACAAUAAUAGACUUCAUAGACGUGAUUGAUGAUAUCAUUGACUUGAGCAGUGGCGAGGAGAAUGUUGAACAGGAUGAAAUCCCGACUCAGCCCCCCGCGGCGAUGCUUGAUAGGCAGGAGGUGUUUGUCGAAGCUGGUGAUGGAAGGCAAGAGGCUGCCGAGUCCGGAAAUAUUAUCCAAGCUACCACAUGGUCCAUGUUUAAGGAGAAAGGACCUCUUGGUACAACUGCAAACCAGAAUUGCACUUCAAUGACAGUACCACUCCCAAUUAACAAUGGCACCAUGAUAGAGAUAAAAAGUUGUUACAUCGCUGCAGGCCCUGCUUCAGCUGCUCUGGAGGCUCAUCCCUCAUCACAGCCGGACGAGACUGAAGAAGGGUCCUCUACUCAGUCCAGAGAUACUAUGACAGGUACCACUGGAACACCGUCCUUGGUUGCAGAGGAAGGGUCUCUUGAUACCACUGCAACACAGAAUUUUCCUCCAACAUCAGUGCCAUUCCCAAGUCCCACUUUCACGACUCCGAAUGGUCUGGCAUAUGAAGGAGAUAAUGGAAGGCUGUUGAGGAUGUAUGGGAGACGUCCUAGGAAGAACUACCAUACCGAAACCCCUAGGAGAAGUCCUAGGUUCAAAGAUAAGCAUAAGGGUAAUAAAAGGCUGUUGUAG